ACCUUUUAUUCCUAUCCUUUUAAUUAGCCCUUACGGAGGAGCAGCAAAAGAAGAGAAUGGAAAACAUGAAAUAUUGGAAAACAGUCUGUGAUGAUGAAGCGCUCUUUGUCUCAGUGCAUAAUAUACAUGAAACAAACUGGCAAAUCUGCACAUUUUCCUUAUUUGCACUUCUUGUGGCACCUGAGAUUGUAUGAUUCACAAAAUAGUUUCUUCCUCAAAAACCCAGCAUUUCAAAACUAAGGAACUCUGAUCCAUCAGACAAGAGUAUGAAAAGGAAAAGGGAAGAGGGAAAAAGAUGGCAGCAGAGGGAUUGUCUGACAAAAUGGAGUCUGACCUGGAAAGGCAUAUGAAGUGUGGAACUGAACUCCUCCAUGUGGAAAAAAUGGAACCCAUUGACAUUCAUUGAUGUUUGUUGAACAUUUAUGGAGACCAACCAGUGGAUGUGAGCGCUGCGAGGUGGCUCCUGGUCCCUCCCCAUGACAGGACCAGUGGAACCAGCGGAGCUAUUUCUCUUCAUGUCUUUGUCCUUAAGAGAGGCCUAGGUGACAACAAAGCUGCUGACCAGAAGUUAUCUGGAAUGAGGUAAGAUGAAAAUAUGAGAGAGAAGCAAUGACUGCUGCCUUCUGUACACCUUACUUUUCAUUUUGUAGUGAAACAUUGAGUUUGCACUGGUAUUGGCUUUUUUUCUUACUUUUAUUUUUAAGAAAUUCUUUUUUAUAUUGCUGACUUUCCAAGACUCUCUCCUUUUUAGAGGGAUAAUUCUUUCCUUCCACAUUUGCAUGUCCUGUGCCAGAAACCAAAAAGAGGAAAGGAAACCUGGUCUUUUCUCCUGUUUUGUAUGCUUGCAUGUGUAUUUAAGAUUUUUCCUUUUCUGAUUCGAAACAUACAUACUAGCAGCCCAGUAGAAUUUAUAUUUUCUUAGUUUUUUUUUUAAUUAAUCUUCAUCAGACAUAGUUAAAAUGGAUACUCAGGCCUGGUAUAAGCUUAUUUCUUUAGUCAUCCACAUCCAAAGUAUAUGUUUGUAAUAAUCUGUGAAGCGACAGUAUGGCAGUCCUCCAGUUUCCAUACUAUCACUCAAUAGUUUUUUACCUCACUGUCAAGGAAUAUUAGCAAUCCCUAGGAGCAAGGAAGUCCAGAAGCUAUACCUGACAUUGCCCAAAACUCAUGACAAAGUAAGUCCAAUCUGGACGUCACAUUUGGAAUAGAUGGUUACUUUCCUUCACAUCUCUAUUAUAGCUAGCUCAUUCACAUUUGUCUUGCCAAUCACGUGAGCAAAUUCAUGAGAAAAGCAAAUCAAAAAGCAUAACACGGCACUGACAAAUGUCUGGAUGAGAUAGGUGACCUAUCUGUUCCUCCCUCAAGUCUGGCAUGCAUGAGAUUUAUUCAUGAAUAAAGCUUUAUGACUGUACACUGCACUGCCAUCACAACACCCAUAUAUAACUUUAAGACAAUUCUGCCAGAUAUGCAUGGUCAGCAAAAUGGAGAGAAAGGUGCUGGGUGUUGGGUCCCAUGGUCAAAGGAAACUUGUGAAAGAAUAUUUCUCUGUGUCAGAGGAAUGCUACUUCCUUUCCGCAUGCAAAAUGGCAAUAGUCUCUAAAUUGUUUGAAGAGUCUUUCAUAAAUCUCAUUUAUACUGGCCUGGUAUUGGUAACUUAAAUAGUCCCUGUUAUAAAGCAGUCUUUUAACAGCAAUAGCAGUGCUUGGCAUAGCAAACACUUAGGCCCAGCUGCUCUGUGGGCAUUACUGCCAUAUCAUAAUAUCAUUGAUCUGUAAAAUAAAGAUAAAC
ensembl:lncRNA